rnacentral:rRNA from 1 species
GACGAACGCUGGCGGCAUGCCUAAUACAUGCAAGUCGAGCGAACAGAUGAAGUGCUUGCACUUCUGACGUUAGCGGCGAACGGGUGAGUAACACGUAAGGAAUCUACCUAUAAGCGGGGGAUAACAUUCGGAAACGGGUGCUAAUACCGCAUAAUAUCUUCUUCCGCAUGGAAGAAGAUUGAAAGACGGCUCUGCUGUCACUUAUAGAUGACCUUGCGGUGCAUUAGUUAGUUGGUGGGGUAACGGCCUACCAAGACGAUGAUGCAUGGCCGACCAGAGAGGGUGAGCGGCCACAUUGGAACUGAGACACGGCCCAAACUCCUACGGGAGGCAGCAGUAGGGAAUCUUCCGCAAUGGGCGAAAGCCUGAUGGAGCAAUGCCGCGUGAGUGAAGAAGGCCUUCGGGUCGUAAAACUCUGUUAUAAGAGAAGAACAAAUUGUAGAGUAACUGCUACAGUCUUGACGGUAUCUUAUCAGAAAGCCACGGCUAACUACGUGCCAGCAGCCGCCGUAA